rnacentral:lncRNA from 1 species
GGUAGUUAAUAAUAAUCUGUUACACCUGCAGUGACAUCGGACAUGGCAUUCAUAACGUAAGUAUUUGAACAUUUUUUAAAUUAAUAAGUACCUAUUUGAAUAGUUAUCUACAAAUCCUAUAAUUAAGUUAUAUAUAGUAUAGGAUAUAGUAUAUCGUAAUUUUUUUUGAGUAGAUAUUUUUAAUCUUUGUAAUCAUAUAUCUAUGGAAAAAUAUAUGUUCCUUUUAAUAUAUUGUAUUGAUUGGAUACCUGUUUAUUGUGCAAUCUAUGUGUUUAGAAGGUAGGUAUUAUAAUCAUCACUAUCGAAUCAUGUCGAAAUUAUUUAACAUAGUCCAUGGAUCGAAUAAUUUGAUGUAAAUUUAUGAUACUUACCUUUAUCUGUGUCUGUGUGAUAAACAAUAAAUAAAUAACUAUAUCCAUAGGUAGUGGCGUAGCCAGGUGGAAAUUGUGUUUUAACUCCCCCCCUUCAUUGCCUUUUUUUUAGCUAUAGUUAAGGUUAAGAAGAUGGUUAUAUUAUAUUGUAAAAUAAUAAACACAGAAAAUGCUGACGUUCGUAAAUAUUGUUUAUCGGAACUGAACUCAGAAAUGUAUAUAGCCAGGUAAUAUACACUUGGUUAUAUUAUAUCUGUGUAUUAUUAUAAUACAAAUAAUAUUAAACACUUCUAAUAUACUAAAAAAAAAGUAAAUGAAUGAACUUGAAUAACCAAAUAAAAUAUUUCAAGUUACCUUUGAAUUGAAAUUGAAUUAUCGUCAAUUCUAAUUAUUAAUGAUGACCACCCGGACACGUCCUACUGCAGGUAUUUUGUUAUUUUACCUCCAUGGCCUUAUAUUGUUAUACGUAAUGGUGAUGCUUAUUGCCUAAUGGGAUACAUAAUGGUCGAUGUGGAAUAGGAAAUAAUUGUUAUAGUAAAUAACACCUACCUAAUAAUAAUAAUAUAUUAAAAAAUGUCAAUAACAAUAACCACUGAUCGACCAUCAUUUGUGUAAUAAAUGUAAACAAAACAAAAAUAUAGCCCAUAUGUAUUACAGAUCUCUUCCUAAAAUAAUAAUUUACUGUAAUGUAUAUAUCUAUACAUUUAUGUGAAUAUUAUUUUUCCAAAACCAAAUCAUGUGAAGAAUGUGAAGUAAGCAGGUGUUGCUUAUAUAUUAUAGCAUUGGCGGAUAACGAAUUGUUUUGAAUCGCUGUUGCUGUUGUUUUACAGGUAAGUAAAUAUGUGUGUUUGCUCCAUGGUAAUAAUAAUAAUUAUUUUUUUAUUAUUAAAGGAGCCAUAAUAAUGUAUUAAGCAUGUCUAUAUUACUAUAUUAUUUUGCAAUAAAUUAUUAUUAAUCACAAAUAUAAUUACGAAGCUACUCAGCAUUUUAUAUUUUUAUACUGGAGACUGGUUCAAAUUAUAAUUAAUUAUAAUUCUCCUUGUAUGUGUGUAUAAUAUAUAAUACUAUGUGAAUAUUGUUUUUUCCAAAAUCAUAAACCAUUUGAAAUAAAUAGGUGUUGUUUAUAAGUUAUAACAUUGGUGGAUAAUGAAUUGUUUUAAACUGUUGCGAUGGUUUUGUAGGUAAGUCGUAAAUAUGUGUGUACCGCCAUGGUAAUAAUAAUAAUUAUUAUUAUUUUAUUGUUAAUGUUUAUUUCAAAAAAUAAUGCUCGUCUGGUACUAUAAAAUAAUAUGUGUCUAUCAAUGUAUUAAGCAUGUCUAUUAUUAAGUAUAUUAUCUUGCAGUAAAUUAUUAUUUAGCAAGAAUAUUAUUUUAAAGGUACCCCAGAAUAUUUUAUUUUUGUACUGGAGACUGAGUCAAAUAAUAAUUAUAUUAUGUGAAUAUUGUUUUUUCUAAAACCAUAAACCAUUUGAAAUAAAUAGGUGUUGUUUAUAAGUUAUACCAUUGGUGGAUAAUGAAUUGUUUUAAACUGUUGCGAUGGUUUUGUAAGGUAAGUCGUAAAUAUGUGUGUACCGCCAUGGUAAUAAUAAUAAUUGUUUUUAUUUUAUUAUUAGUGUUUAUUUCAAAGAAUAAUGCUCGUUUGGUGUCAUAAAAUAAUAUGUGUCUAUUAAUGUAUUAAGCAUGUCUAUUAUUAAGUAUAUUAUCUUGCAGUAAAUUUUUAUUUAGCACGAAUAUUAUUUCGAAGGUACCCCAGAAUAUUUUAUUUUUGUGCUGGAGACUGGUUCAAAUAAUAAUAAUUCUAAUCUGAAAAUGCACAAUGUUUUUGUACGUAAUAUAGUUUAUUUUCAAAUUGCAGGUGUUAAAAUAAAUAUUCAUGCGAAUAAAAUGUUCGCGUUUAAAAAAUUAAUAUAGGUAUACAUAAUAUUAUAUGCUGUAUGUGCACUGCAGGAAAACUUCACUCCGAGCAUAAAUAUAGGGUACCUAUUCAUAAUUUAUUUAUUUAUACAUAUGUACCUACCCGUCUAUAUAUUGUAUCGAUAUAUAUGUUUCAAUGUUAACACGUAACGUGCAAAGUAUACAAUUUUUGUCAAUCGUCUACAAUGCCCGGUCCUUAAAUAAAAUGUCCAUCGUAUAUUAUUAUUGGGUAC